UACGUAGGGGGCUAGCGUUGUCCGGAUUUAUUGGGCGUAAAGAGCGUGUAGGCGGCCAUGUAGGUCCGGUGUGAAAACUCGAGGCUUAACCUCGAGAUGUCAUCGGAAACCAUUUGGCUAGAGUCCGGAAGAGGAGAGUGGAAUUCCUGGUGUAGCGGUGAAAUGCGCAGAUAUCAGGAAGAACACCAAUGGCGAAAGCAGCUCUCUGGGACGGUACUGACGCUGAGACGCGAAAGCGUGGGGAUCAAACAGG
rnacentral:rRNA from 1 species